CAAAUACGAUUUGUCAAUAAUUUCUUUCUUUUGGACGAGGACUUGCAAGGCAGUCCAGUCCGCCGCAUUCUAUCGUGGAAUUAUAAAUUAAUCCUGCGUGAUAAUACUCCUUUCGAAGUAGAUUAUUUAAUUCUUCUACUUCUUCAACAUGAGAGCUAAGUGGCGUAAGAAGCGCAUGCGAAGGCUAAAGCGUAAAAGGAGGAAGAUGCGUGCGAGGUCCAAAUAAAAUGGUACACCUUCGGAGUAGAAGAAUAUUAUAAUAUUUUAAGCUUCUGACUGGUGUGCCCAAUAAAAAAAAAUAAAAAAUCCAA